rnacentral:rRNA from 1 species
UACGUAGGCAGCGAGCGUUGUUCGGAAUUACUGGGCGUAAAGAGUGUGUAGGCGGUGCUCCCAGUCUGUUGUGAAAUCUCCCGGCUUAACUGGGAGGGUGCAGCGGAAACUAGAGUGCUAGAGGGUGGGAGAGGUAAGCGGAAUUCCUGGUGUAGCGGUGAAAUUCGUAGAUAUUAGGAAGAACACCAGUGGCGAAGGCGGCUCACUGGCCCGGUACUGACGCUGAGGCGCGAAAGCGUGGGGAGCAAACAGG